CUGCGGGGGGCGGGUUAACAACACCCAAGGCCGUUGCAGGCCUCAGCCUUCCCCCGAGGAGCGGGGACCCGGCGGACGGUUUAGUGCGUGUGAAGCGAGACAUGGCGGCGAGGCCAACGAGCCUGGGAGGCCUCGUGUGUACAGGAAAGGGGCGGGGCUCGAGCGGCCUUGACAACCAUUAGACUUCUUCCGGCUGGGCGGCGGGGAGACUACAUUUCCCAGAGGGCCUCGCGCGGCUCGGGAGUGGCGGGUAGGAAAGGAAGCGCCUCGGGUCCAGUGCGCAGGCGUGAGAGUCCCAUCUGGCUAUAUAAGGGAGGCUCGCGUGUUUCUUGUCCUUUUGCGUCUGCAGCGCGUUAGGGUUGCGUCCCUGUGCUUCGUCCGAUGCUGUCCCACCCCGGGAACCAGGGCUUACUCCUGUAUGUGGUUUGCACCAUCAGAGGGUACAGAAUGGAUCUCGGAGGAGGGGGUUCCCUGCUGGGCCUUGAAGGGAACCACGUGUAGACCUGCACAACGUUCAGUCUCCUGACCUCUGGAGUUCACUGUUGGCAGAAAAGCACACUUUGAAUGGACCAUGAUGGAUCCAGGAUUGGGAGAGAAUUGAUAAUACAAAGUGAGGACUGGGCAUAUACCCAGAGGAAACCAUAAUUCAAAAACACAGGCACCCUAAUGUUCAUUGCAGCACUGUUUACAAUAGCCAGGUCAUGGAAGCAACCUAAAUGUCCAUCAGCAGAUGAAUGGAUAAAGAAGAUGUGGUACUUAUGUACAAUGGAAUAUUACUCAGCCGUACAAAGGAAUGGAAUUGGGACAUUUGUAGAGACAUGGAUCGACCUAGAGACUGUCAUACAGAGAGAAGAGUUUCUCGGUUGUGGAGUUGGAAUGCAAGGUCCCUUGAAAAAGAUGACCCUAUUUACUGAGAAAGCAUGAAGGUUCUGGUUGAAUUAGUCCCACAAUGUUGAAAUGUAACCUGAGUGUCCAGAGCUGAAAAGCCUGUGGCUGUUAUGAAGAGUCAAGUAUUAUUUUAAACUUUGUAGCCUUUUUAUCUGGAGAAACAAAAUAAAUUCUUUAAU